rnacentral:snRNA from 1 species
GAAUGAUACAGAAAAGAUUAGCAUGGCCCCCGAGCAAGGAUAUCACACAAAUUCAUGAAGCAUUCCAUGUUUUC